CGUUAAAAUACCGGUUCCUGUGCGUUCAUCCAAGUUAAGCAACGUAGAGCCUGUUCAGUACUUAGAUGGGUUACCGCAUGGGAAUAGUAAGUGCUGUAAG